AUUAACAUCAAUUAACAGUAGUUAACAUGAAUACCGAUGAACUUAGUCAGGUUUUUUCAUACUAUGAGCUCGUAGGUUAGUUAACACUAAUCUCAUGACAUUUCUCCUUUCAACCGAAACUGUUUUAAACAGAUUCGUUGUUCAACGCAAUGAUCACCCCAAUCAUUGCGUUUUUUUUCGUCUGCACGAAUGUG
rnacentral:sRNA from 1 species